rnacentral:rRNA from 1 species
GAUGAACGCUGGCGGCGUGCCUAAUACAUGCCAGUCGAGCGAACAGACGAGGAGCUUGCUCCUCUGACGUUAGCGGCGGACGGGUGAGUAACACGUGGAUAACCUACCUAUAAGACUGGGAUAACUUCGGGAAACCGGAGCUAAUACCGGAUUAUAUAUUGAACCGCAUGGUUCAAUAGUGAAAGACGGUUUUGCUGUCACUUAUAGAUGGAUCCGCGCCGCAUUAGCUAGUUGGUAAGGUAACGGCUUACCAAGGCGACGAUGCGUAGCCGACCUGAGAGGGUGAUCGGCCACACUGGAACUGAGACACGGUCCAGACUCCUACGGGAGGCAGCAGUAGGGAAUCUUCCGCAAUGGGCGAAAGCCUGACGGAGCAACGCCGCGUGAGUGAUGAAGGUCUUCGGAUCGUAAAACUCUGUUAUUAGGGAAGAACAAAUGUGUAAGUAACUAUGCACGUCUUGACGGUACCUAAUCAGAAAGCCACGGCUAACUACGUG